rnacentral:rRNA from 1 species
GAUGAACGCUGGCGGCGUGCCUAAUACAUGCAAGUCGAGCGAACGGACGAGAAGCUUGCUUCUCUGAUGUUAGCGGCGGACGGGUGAGUAACACGUGGAUAACCUACCUAUAAGACUGGGAUAACUUCGGGAAACCGGAGCUAAUACCGGAUAAUAUUUUGAACCGCAUGGUUCAAAAGUGAAAGACGGUCUUGCUGUCACUUAUAGCUGGAUCCGCGCUGCAUUAGCUAGUUGGUAAGGUAACGGCUUACCAAGGCGACGAUGCAUAGCCGACGUGAGAGGGGGAACGGCCACACUGGAACUGAGACACGGUCCAGACACCGACGGGAGGCAGCAGUAGGGAAUCUUCCGAAAAGGGCGAAAGCCUGACGGAGCAACGCAGCGCGGGUGAUGAAGGUCUGCGGAUCGUAAAACUCUGUUAUGGGGGAAGAACAUAUGUGUAAGUAACGGUGCGCAUCUGGACGUUACCGAAUCAGAAAGCCACGGCAAAUUACGU